UACGGAGGGUGCGAGCGUUAUCCGGAAUCACUGGGUUUAAAGGGUGCGUAGGCGGCGUUAUAAGUCAGAGGUGAAAGGCACGAGCUUAACUGGUGAAUUGCCUUUGAUACUGUAAUGCUUGAAUUAGGUUGAGGUUAGCGGAAUGUGACAUGUAGCGGUGAAAUGCAUAGAUAUGUCAUAGAACACCAAUUGCGUAGGCA
rnacentral:rRNA from 1 species